CCUACGGGAGGCUGCAGUGGGGAAUAUUGGGCAAUGGGCGCAAGCCUGACCCAGCCACGCAGCGUGAAGGAAGAAGGCUUUCGGGUUUUAAACUUCUUUUUUCAGGGAAGAGUAGAAGACGGUACCUGACGAAUAAGCCACGGCUAACUACGGGCCAGCAGCCGCGGUCAUACGUAGGUGGCAAGCGUUAUCCGGAUUUACUGGGUGUAAAGGGCGUGUAGCCGGGUUGACAAGUCAGAUGUGAAAUCGUGCGGCUUAACCGCAGAACUGCAUUUGAAACUGUUGAUCUUGAGUACUGGAGAGGCAGACGGAAUUCCUGGUGUAGCGGUGAAAUGCGUAGAUAUUAGGAGGAACACCGGUGGCGAAGGCAGGCUACUGGACAGCAACUGACAGUGAGGCGCGAAAGCGUGGGGAGCAAACAGGAUUAGAUACCCCAGUAGUC
rnacentral:rRNA from 1 species